rnacentral:ncRNA from 1 species
UCGAGCCGUAUGAAGGGAAACUCCCACGUACAGUUUGUUUUGGGGGGGGGGAGCCCAACAGGGUCCCCCCACUGACUUGGCCCGGGCCUAAGUGAAAGUGCAAAAGUGAAGUGGUGGGCCUACCCAUCC